rnacentral:rRNA from 1 species
GAUGAACGCUGGCGGCGUGCUUAACACAUGCCAGUCGAACGGACAGACGAUGAUUUUGCGGGGUGCUUGUGAGGCGAACGGGUGAGAGAAACGUGAGUAUAAUGCACCUGUAUUUGGGGUAAAAUUAGGGGACUGGGGAGCAUACAGGAUAGGAGAUCUUGAUGCACGGUGGGGGAUGGAAAGAUUCGGCGGUUUGGGCUGGAAUAGCGGUUUAUCCGCUUGUUGGUGGGGUAGUGGAUUACCAAGUUUUUGACGGGUAGCCGGCCUGAGAGGUUGACCGGCCACAAGGCGCCUGCGAGACGGCGCAGACGCCUACGGUAGGCAGCGGUGGGGAAUAUUGCACAAUGGGCGGAAGCCAGAGGCAGCAACGCCGCGUUCGUGAUGACGUCCUUCUGGUGGUAAACCGCUUUCGCCGGUGACGAAGCGUUAGUGACGGUAAUUAGUAAAGAAGCACCGGCUAACUACGUG